rnacentral:tRNA from 1 species
GGGUCUAUAGUUUAAUUGGUAAAACAGCGGUCUCCAAAACCGCCGUUCCAGGUUCAAGUCCUGGUGGACCCGCCU